GUGGGGAAUAUUGGGCAAUGGGCGAAAGCCUGACCCAGCAACGCCGCGUGAAGGAAGAAGGCCUUCGGGUUGUAAACUUCUUUUAAGAGGGACGAAGGACGUGACGGUACCUCUUGAAUAAGCCACGGCUAACUACGUGCCAGCAGCCGCGGUAAUACGUAGGUGGCGAGCGUUAUCCGGAUUUACUGGGUGUAAAGGGCGCGUAGGCGGGAAUGCAAGUCAGAUGUGAAAUCUAGGGGCUUAACCCCUAAACUGCAUUUGAAACUGUAUUUCUUGAGUGUCGGAGAGGUUGACGGAAUUCCUAGUGUAGCGGUGAAAUGCGUAGAUAUUAGGAGGAACACCAGUGGCGAAGGCGGUCAACUGGACGAUAACUGACGCUGAGGCGCGAAAGCGUGGGGAGCAAACAGGAUUAGAAACCCUAGUAGUCC
rnacentral:rRNA from 1 species